UUACCAGACUCCUACGGGAGGCAGCAGUGGGGAAUAUUGCACAAUGGGGGAAACCCUGAUGCAGCAACGCCGCGUGAGUGAAGAAGUCAUUCGUGAUGUAAAGCUCUAUCAGCAGGGAAGAAAAUGACGGUACUCUAAGAAUAAGCACCGGCUAACUACGUGCCAGCAGCCGCGGUAAUACGUAGGGUGCGAGCGUUAAUCGGAAUUACUGGGCGUAAAGGGUGUGCAGGCGGCUGAGUAAGACAGAUGUGGAAUCCCCGGGCUUAACCUGGGAACCGCAUAUGUGACUGCUUGGCUAGAGUGCGUCAGAGGGAGGUGGAAUUCCACGUGUAGCAGUGAAAUGCGUAGAUAUGUGGAAGAACACCGAUGGCGAAGGCAGCCUCCUGGGACGCAACUGACGCUCAUACACGAAAGCGUGGGGAGCAAACAGGAUUAGAUACCCGAGUAA
rnacentral:rRNA from 1 species